rnacentral:lncRNA from 1 species
AAUGUGACAAGGCGAAGCGGGAGGGAGGGGUUUGCACUAAAAGCGGUGGAUGGUUCACCGCCUUCGUUCAUCGCCUUCAAAAGGCGGUGAUCCAUUCACUGCCUUCACAAGACAUAUUACAAAGAUGGUGAAUUGUUCACCGUGUUUGUGAGAAAUGGCUGAUGUGGCGUCCACGUGGCAAAAUGAGGGUUAGUUUUACAAAUAAAAUUUUGGCAGGAUCAUUUUGCUAAUUUCAAAUUUUUACAGGGCCAUUUUAUAAAAAAGCCCUAAAAUUUUGAUACUUUUAAAUUUUAAAGUUUUAAAUUUCAAAUUUUAUAUUUUAUAUUUUAAAUUCUAAAUUUCAAUUUUAACUUAUAAUAUUUAUUUUCAAAUUUUAAACUUCAAAAUUUAAAAUUUUAUAUCUUUAAAUUCUAUGAAAUUAAUUAAUUAAUUUUAUUAAUAAUACG